UUAUCCAUCCAUACAAAUUCAUAUGUUAUCUUGGUCCAUCUGAUUUAUUUCUUCUUCCCUUUGUUUCAAAGAAUAUUUUGAUCUGUGCCUUAUUGUACUUUUAUGCAUAUUUUAUUUAGUAGUGCCCUAUUUGUGUGGUUAAUGUUCUGGACGGUAUAAAUUGUAUGGGAGAGGCGAUGAUGAUUUUGUGUGGACAAAAUUAGGAUUGUAUGGAAAAGGCAAUGAUGAUUUUGUGUUGAAAAAUGGAAACGAAGGAAUAAGGAAGAAUGCAAUGCAUGAGCUUGCGCUUCUUCUUAUCCUUUUCUUUUCUUUCUGUGCCGCUAUUUCCCCUAACCAGCUUACUUUUAUUAUUUUACAUAUUUUUUUUUGCACUCUUUCUGCUUUAUGGGGCUCUCCGCGGGCAUCGGAGAGGUGGUGCGCGGAGCUAGGGAUGGGUCUGGGGAUGGGUCUACGCCGUACGAUCCCAUCGGUGGCGGCGACGGCGCCGCCACGGUGAGCUCCGCCAUAGAGCUCUGCCUCUGCGCUCAUAACAGCUUACACGAGUUUUCUCUAGAAAAAACAAAAGAACAUUGGAUAUUGGUGAAUUAGAAACAAAUUGCAUGAUAUAUUAAGGUCAUGAUACGCAUCCGGCCAAUUAAUAAAGUUGAAAGUGCUCUCCAUGGUUACAAUAGAUGUUUGAUACAGGAAAGCUCGCAGACCCUUACAUGGACAGGGCACCCUGAAACAAGGUUCACUUUUGAUCAUGUUGCAUGUGAAGACACCACGCAGGAGAAACUUUUUUGAGUUGUUGGCCUACCAACGGUGGAGAACUGCAUGUCUGGCUAUAAUCACGUCUCAAAGUCAGAAGGCAGAGGUUGUGUAAUACAAAUUAAGAACAAAUAAUUUUAUAACCUUAUUCAUUUCUGAAACCAUAUUUGUAUAUCGUUGAAAUCGAAUUAGGGACCCAAACACACACACACACACACUCACAAAUUAAAGAAGACAUGAAGCACCAAUUACCUAAUAGAGCCAUUACAAUUUCAGCGAGCCGGGGUUCGCCCGCAAGAGCGACGUGUUCUGAUCAACAAACACAACAGUAUCACGACACCAUUUUUUUUUAUUCAAAUUAAAAUUGGAAAUUUAAUUUUUAGAUAAUAAUGCCAAAUUUAUUUUUACUAAAUUCACUUUCCAUUUUGAACUUUAAUUCUGCAUAGGUCCAACAUGUGAUGAUCUGGAUAGUUAAUUUAGAUAGUUGCUUAAUGUUUUACUAGCAUAGGUCCAGCAUGUGAUGAUUUGAAUAGUUACUUAAUGUUUGAGCAGUUUCAACCUAUAGAGGUUAAGAAAAACCGGUUUUCCAAUUGAAUUGGUUCUGUACGUUUUCAUUUUUGAUCAUGUGAAGACAUUGGCUUUUAGCACAGCUAUCAUUAUGAUGUAUAAUAACAAAAUUUUCAUUAGUUCUGGCAUUUUCUUAAUUGCAAAUACGCCAAUGUAUCAUUGAACAAAUAGCCAGUUCAUAAUCAUUUUUUAUUUAUAUGACAGUUCGAACUUAUUUGAGUGGGCACAAAAAUGUUCUGGUGUUUAGUUGUGCUCAAGCUUGGCAUUCCUAUUUUAUUUAGAUGAAAAAAAGUUGUGCUUUUGGAUGGCCUAAUCCCUGGCAACUAGCGCACUUACUGUUUUGCUGCGCUAUAAUUUUGAGUUUGCACAUGUGCUUCCUGCCUGCUGAUUCAGAAUUUACCAAUAGCUCUUUUUUGCAUUCUUUACUUUCAUGAGGUAUGAGCUGUGAGAUUGUAUCCUGAUGUUUAGCUGAUGGCCAAUAUAGUCUGGUAUUUUAUUUCUGGUUGAUAGUCGGAUAAUUUGUGGGCAACCAGCUUUAUAAAUGUUAGUUGUGCUGAAGUUUAUAAUUCUAUCUUUGUUCAAAUUAAUUGAUUUCUGCUUUGUUCCCAUCUUUUGGCUUUGUUUAUGUUCCUACUUUUAAUGCAGUAUUUAGGUAACCAUGAGAGUUUGCAAAUAAGAAAAAAAAAAAACUAAACCUAUGUUUUAUUGUGUUGAAAAAACGUAAAACAAUUCUGAGAUCAUAAACAAAAUCUUUGAUUAGCUUAUCUUUCUCAUAGAAAUAGAUUUUAGUAAAG